CGAAUGGCUCAUUAAAUCAGUUA
rnacentral:ncRNA from 2 species